CGCGACACUGGCUAAGAUGCGUACGGUGGUUCUCUUCUUCCACAACAAGAGGAAGGUGCGGUGUGGCUACGACAUAGUUGAAGUUCAGGAUAUUGUUAUUGCUUUCUCAAAUUUUGCUUGGGAGCAGUACACUUUGCAUCUUGCAGUACGAACCCCAUCGCGUCGUGGUGCAGUCAACCACAACGCAGAGCCUUGAAAAUUUGUUCGUGCUAUUUAGAGUUCUCUCAAUGUGUAGAAGAUAAUUAUUUCACCUUUUUGAAGUCCGCUUUGUUC